CUUAAUUGGUUUAUUAUUGUUGAUAUGUGUUUAGGUAUUAGAGAAGUAAUUUGAUAGGAGGAAAAUUAAGGAUAUGAAGUUUAAGUUUUACCUUUUGUAUAAUGGUGUGGAGAAAAGGUCUUUAGUGAGUUAAGGAUCACUAAUUAAGGAGGUAAUGUUUUUAAGAGUAUAGAUGUUUCAGUAUCUUUAGGAAGAAAAGCAAGAUUGAUAUAAAAAUCGUUUCUUAGGAUAAAUUGGAGACAUAGGUAGAUUUAGGGAUAAGUUUAGGAAGUAAAGGGACAGCUUUUACUUCAAUAAGAGAAUACUAUAAAAUAAAAAAAAUUUUUUAUUUUGGUUGAUUUAUGUAUAAGAGAAUAUGUUUUGAGAAUUUUUCAAAAAGUAGGUUGAUUUUUCUUUAUUUAAGGUUGAAAGAUUUGAUAGGGUGAUAUAAGAAUUAGGAGAGGAAUUUAGCAAAUAUAUUUAAGAUUCAGUGAAGUAGUUUACUAAAAACUAAGUUGGCCGAUGUCUGAUGGUUGAUGGAGUCUGCUCAAUGUGUGUAAAUAAAUGGCGACCUAAGGUUUUAAUGUAGCGUAUUAAUUUGUCUAUUAAUUGUAGUCUAGUGAAGGGCUAAAAUUACUGAGGCUUUCUUUUUUAAUGUUUCUGAAAUUCCUUAAAGGUGAAAAUGCUUUUGUAGUAAUAAAAGAAAAAAAGACCCUAGGUAGUUAAAGUUUAUUAAUUUGUUGUACAUUAGGAAGCUUUUGCUGGGGCAGUGACAGUUUAUUAUUUAAUUUCUGUGUUUGAGAUUUAAUUGUAAAUUUUUUAAUUAAACUAACCCUAGGGGUAACAGCGCAAUCGACAGGGAGAGUUCAUAUUAAUCUGUCGGUUUACGACCUCGAUGUCGACUUAUGAUAACCCUAGGCGCAGUAGUUUAGGUCUUGUGUUUGUUCACCAUAUGGAAUUUUACGUGAGUUGGGUUAAGAACGGGGCAACUUAGUUUGGAUUUUUUCUUUAAGAAUAAAUUUUGUUAGUACGAAAGGAAGUUGAAAUUGAUAAGAAUUGUU
rnacentral:rRNA from 1 species